rnacentral:rRNA from 1 species
UACGGAGGGUGCAAACGUUGCUCGGAAUCAUUGGGCGUAAAGCGCACGUAGGCGGCCUGUUAAGUCGGGUGUGAAAGCCCUGGGCUCAACCCAGGAAGUGCACUCGAAACUGGCGGGCUUGAAUAUGGAAGAGGGUCGCGGAAUUCCCGGUGUAGAGGUGAAAUUCGUAGAUAUCAGGAGGAACACCGGUGGCGAAGGCGGGUCUCUGGGCCGAUAUUGACGCUGAGGAGCGAAAGCGUGGGGAGCGAACAGG